UCAGGGGUAAACCUGAGGAACCCGAAAGAUCGAAUGGGAAGAUUCAGCGUCAGCGGCGUUCGGCGUCGUAGACGUGCACUUCUCCCCUAGUAGAACGUCGCGACCCGUUGGGUGCCGGUCACGCGGCAGACCCUCGGAGAUCCGGCCGGCUGCCCGGCGGUCGAACAUAAGGUAUCUUGCCGCAAUUUAACUGCGUCGGGCCCGUCGCAAGCGAGGCCAGGGACCCGGUGCCGUACCCGCGGCUGGCCGGCUGUUGGCAGGCGGAGUCCUUCGACGGGCAAUACACAUCGAUACCGGUCUGCGACGCUACUGCUUUGGGUACUCUCAGGACCCGUCUUGAAACACGGACCAAGGAGUCUAACAUGUGCGCGAGUCAUUGGGACUGCAAGCCUAAAGGCGCAAUGAAAGUGAAAGUCGUCGACCGAGGGAGGAUGGGCCGCGUUUGCGCGCGGCUCCGCACUCCCGGGGCGUCUCGUUCUCAUUGCGAGAAGAGGCGCACCCAGAGCGUACACGUUGGGACCCGAAAGAUGGUGAACUAUGCCUGGUCAGGACGAAGUCAGGGGAAACCCUGAUGGAGGUCCGUAGCGAUUCUGACGUGCAAAUCGAUCGUCGGAACUGGGUAUAGGGGCGAAAGACUAAUCGAACCAUCUAGUAGCUGGUUCCCUCCGAAGUUUCCCUCAGGAUAGCUGGCACUCGUUCGUUUCUAAUAAAGGAGUCUCAUCUGGUAAAGCGAAUGAUUAGAGGCCUUGGGGCCGAAACGACCUCAACCUAUUCUCAAACUUUAAAUGGGUGAGAUCUCUGGCUUGCUUGAAAUAUGAAGCCACGAGAUCGGAUCAGAGUGCCAAGUGGGCCAAUUUUGGUAAGCAGA
rnacentral:rRNA from 1 species